GAUCCAAACGCUGGAUUGUUGAUCAUACAACAUCCAAAACAUUGGGAAUAAUAAUAGAAU
rnacentral:sRNA from 12 species